AGUAGACCUUUCAGCAGAAACCAUACAAGCCAGAAGAGACUGAGAGCCUAUAUUCAGCAUUCUUUAAAAAAGGGAAUUUCCAACUAAGAAUUUCAUAUCCAGCCAAACUAAGCUUCAUAAGCAAAAGAGGAAAUGAGAUCCUUUUCAGAUAAGCAGAUGCUAAGGGAAUUAAUUACCACCAAAACCCCCGUUCCACAGAGGCCACUAUUAAAUAUUUCCUCACACAAGCAACUGCAUCCAUAAUCCUCAUAAUAGCCAUCCUCUCUAAUAACCUGCUUUCUGGACAGUGAACCACAAUCGAUGCCACUAACCAAUAUUCAUCUUUAAUAAUAAUAAUAGCCCUUGUAAUAAAAUUAGGAAUAGCCCCCUUCCACUUCUGAGUCCCAGAAGUUACUCAAGGAACCUCCUUAAUAUCCAGCUUACUCCUCCUCACAUGACAAAAACUAGCCCCUAUUUCAAUUAUAUAUCAAAUCUCCCCAUUACUGAACGCAAACCU